rnacentral:rRNA from 1 species
UACGUAGGGGGCAAGCGUUGUCCGGAUUUAUUGGGCGUAAAGCGCGUGUAGGUGGUGGGACAAGUCUGCUGUGAAAAUCCGGGGCUCAACCCCGGACUUGCAGUGGGUACGGGCAGACUAGAGUGUGGUAGGGGAGACUGGAAUUCCUGGUGUAGCGGUGAAAUGCGCAGAUAUCAGGAGGAACACCGAUGGCGAAGGCAGGUCUCUGGGCCACUACUGACGCUGAGAAGCGAAAGCAUGGGGAGCGAACAGG